ensembl:lncRNA
CAGGAGGCUUCCUGUGUGCUGUUUUGGAUCUGUCAGGAAUUCUCUUCCUUAUUAAAUCCUGAAUAUUCAGGAAUUAAGAGGAGAGACGAGCUUCUCCCGGGGGCUGAGGAAUCCAGGCGUUUCCUUUAUUAGUUUUCUAUAUGGUGCAUUGAUGGAGCUAGCCAUUAUGUGAAUGGGGACAGAAAUAAAACACAAUGUAACUCUGUAUUCAGGCCGUUCACCGUAUAUCCUGGAAAGGAGGAGUAUGUGACUGGCUUAGCUUGGGUCUUUUUCUGGCUCCUCAGACUGUGUCCAGAGGUAACUACUCAGAGGGAAAAGAUAUUCAAUAACAAAAAGAAAUGGAAUGAAUGAACAGCCACGGCAACAAACAUUUACUCACCAUCUUUCACAGCUGAUGCCAACUUUGAGCAUGAGAAGGCUCACCGCAUGGCUGUCUAAUGAGGAACCUCCUGGGGAUGGUGGUGACAGCUACUCCCCUUUGCCACUGAAAGCUUGUUCCACUUACUGACCAAGAAUUUGGACUGGUGAUUCUGAUGCCUACAGAAGUUUGAGAACCACUGGUGCACUGGUUAGGAUAAUGGGCUUUGAGAUCAGAAUAUAAGCCCAGACAAUGAGAAGAAUGAAGGAUGGGUCUGGAUAGUAUACUUUCCAAAUAAUAGAGGUCUUACCCUGGUGUUGAUAGUCGCUAAACUUCUCUGGGGUGGCUGCAUGGGUGCAGGAGGGCAGAGAGGAGCUACUCUACAUCCAAGGUCAGGAGGGGUGGCUGUGAGGAGAUACCCCUCAUCCAAGGUAAGGAGCAGUGGCUGCGCUUUGCUGGAGCAGCCACAAAGAGAUACCCUACGUCCAAGGUAAGAGAAUCUCAAGUAAGAUGGUAGGUGUUGUGAGAGGCAUCAAAAGGCAGACACACAAACCAUAAUCACAGAAAACAGGUCAACCUAAUCACACUAGGACCACAGCCUUGUCUAACUCAAUGAAACUAAGCCGUGCCAUGUGGGCCACUUAAGACGGGUGGGUCACGGUGGAGAGGUCUGACAGAAUGUAGUCCACUGGAGAAGGGAAUGGCAAACCACUUCAAUAUACUUGCCUUGAGAACACCAUGAACAGUAUGAAAGGCAAAAUGAGAGGAUACUGAAAGAGGAACUCCCCAGGUUGGUAGUGCCCAAUAUGCUACUGGAGAUCAAUGGAGAAAUAACUCCAGAAAGAAUGAAGGGAUGAAGCCAAAGCAAAAACAAUACCCAGUUGUGGAUGUGACUGGUGAUAGAAGCAAGGUCCGAUGCUGUAAGAGCAAUAUUGCACAGGAACCUGGAAUGUCAGGUCCAUGAAUCAAGGCAAAUUGUAAGUAGUCAAACAGGAGAUGGUAAGAGUGAACGUCGACAUUCUAGGAAUCAGCGAACUAAAAUGGACUGGAAUG